rfam:Canis lupus familiaris chromosome X, whole genome shotgun sequence.
GGGGGGAGGUCGGAUCCUGGGCUGUGUCCCGGCGCCCUGUGCUCCUGAGCCUGCGCUGUUGGACUCGCGCUCCCGGCCGCGCAGCCCCCU